rnacentral:rRNA from 1 species
CUUGCUUUUUCUAGGCGUCGACCGGCGCACGGGUGAGUAACGCGUAUCCAACCUGCUCAUCACUUGGGGAUAACCUUGCGAAAGUAAGACUAAUACCCAAUGACGUCCAUAGAAGACAUCUGAAAUGGAUUAAAGAUUUAUCGGUGAUGGAUGGGGAUGCGCCUGAUUAGCUUGUUGGCGGGGUAACGGCCCACCAAGGCGACGAUCAGUAGGGGUUCUGAGAGGAAGGUCCCCCACAUUGGAACUGAGACACGGUCCAAACUCCUACGGGAGGCAGCAGUGAGGAAUAUUGGUCAAUGGACGAGAGUCUGAACCAGCCAAGUAGCGUGCAGGAUGACGGCCCUAUGGGUUGUAAACUGCUUUUAUAAGGGAAUAAAGUGAGAGUCGUGACUCUUUUUGCAUGUACCUUAUGAAUAAGGACCGGCUAAUUCCGUGCCAGCAGCCGCGGUAAUACGGAAGGUCCGGGCGUUAUCCGGAUUUAUUGGGUUUAAAGGGAGCGUAGGCCGGAGAUUAAGCGUGUUGUGAAAUGUAGAUGCUCAACAUCUGAACUGCAGCGCGAACUGGUUUCCUUGAGUACGCACAAAGUGGGCGGAAUUCGUGGUGUAGCGGUGAAAUGCUUAGAUAUCACGAAGAACUCCGAUUGCGAAGGCAGCUCACUGGAGCGCAACUGACGCUGAAGCUCGAAAGUGCGGGUAUCGAACAGGAUUAGAUACCCUGGUAGUCCGCACGGUAAACGAUGGAUGCCCGCUGUUGGUCUGAAUAGGUCAGCGGCCAAGCGAAAGCAUUAAGCAUCCCACCUGGGGAGUACGCCGGCAACGGUGAAACUCAAAGGAAUU